rnacentral:rRNA from 1 species
UACGGGGGGGGCAAGCGUUGUUCGGAAUUACUGGGCGUAAAGAGCUCGUAGGCGGUUUGUCGCGUCUGCCGUGAAAGUCCGGGGCUCAACUCCGGAUCUGCGGUGGGUACGGGCAGACUAGAGUGAUGUAGGGGAGACUGGAAUUCCUGGUGCAGCGGUGAAAUGCGCAGAUAUCAGGAGGAACACCGAUGGCGAAGGCAGGUCUCUGGGCAUUAACUGACGCUGAGGAGCGAAAGCAUGGGGAGCGAACAGG